CUACGUGCCAGCAGCCGCGGUAAUACGGAAGGUCCAGGCGUUAUCCGGAUUUAUUGGGUUUAAAGGGAGCGUAGGCUGGAGAUUAAGUGUGUUGUGAAAUGUAGACGCUCAACGUCUGAAUUGCAGCGCAUACUGGUUUCCUUGAGUACGCACAACGUUGGCGGAAUUCGUCGUGUAGCGGUGAAAUGCUUAGAUAUGACGAAGAACUCCGAUUGCGAAGGCAGCUGACGGGAGCGCAACUGACGCUUAAGCUCGAAGGUGCGGGUAUCAAACAGGAUUAGAUACCCUGGUAGUCCGCACAGUAAACGAUGGAUGCCCGCUGUUGGUACCUGGUAUCAGCGGCUAAGCGAAAGCAUUAAGCAUCCCACCUGGGGAGUACGCCGGCAACGGUGAAACUCAAAGGAAUUGACGGGGGCCCGCACAAGCGGAGGAACAUGUGGUUUAAUUCGAUGAUACGCGAGGAACCUUACCCGGGAUUGAA
rnacentral:rRNA from 1 species